rnacentral:sRNA from 1 species
GGUAUUCCUUAUCUGUGUCUACUUCGUUGAAUUGUCUGGAGCCUGUCUCGCUGUGCUCUUGCCACCAGAACACAGUGAGACAGGCCCGUCGUUUUACGUGCUGCGCGAUAUCCGGGG